AUGAAUCAAGGACAAGGGGAAACAAGCUAUGCUCGCAACUCCUUUGUUCAGAAUGGUGAGCAGAAGAGAAUGAAGCCCCUGAUAGAAACGGCUAUCCUUGAUUUAUGCCCCAGCACUAGCACGUUGUUGCCCACAAAGAUGGUGAUUGCCGACCUAGGGUGCUCCUCUGGCCCAAACGCGAUAGCGCUAGUGUUGAUUGCCGUAGAGGCCAUCCACAAUCACUACCACCAGUUCUUACAGCCACCUCCCGAAGUGUCUGUGCUCCUCAACGACCUGCCUGACAACGACUUCAACAUGUCUAUUGUCAUGACUGGGGUUUUACCGGGGUCAUUUCACGAGAGGCUCUUCACUAGUGGUUCCUUGCAUCUUGUCUGCUCGUCCAACAGCCUGCAUUGGCUCUCGAAGGCUCCUGAAGGUCUGACAAUGAACCAGAUCCCGGCGUAUGACAUUGACGAGCAUACCAGGCUUGAAAGGCGCCCAAUGGUCCUUCAGGCUUAUGCACAACAGUUCAGGAAAGAUUUUACACGUUUCCUCGAGCUGAGGGUGAAAGAAAUGGUCCCAGGAGGCCGGAUGGUUGUUUCUCUUGCAGGGAGGGAUUCUGAUGUAAUCACCCCCGAAUUCUCUCCCCUCUGGGAAUUCAUAGCUCAGAUUCUAAGCAUCAUGGUCUCAAAGGGUGUAAUUGACAAAGCAAAGUUUAACUCUUUCUAUUUGCCUGUGUAUGAACCUUCCAACAAAGAGCUGAGGGAGAUCAUCCAAGAUGAAGGCUCAUUUUCAAUCACUGAGAUGCAGGUGAACAAUCCUUUUGUCGGUCUGGACAGCGCACUUGUGGUCCCAAGCAGGUUUGCUAGCGUGACCAAAGCCAUAUUUGAGCCGAUAAUAGUCCAUCAUUUUGGAGAAGUCAUGGAUGAAUUCGUGAGGACCUUGGAACGACGCUGGAUCUUGGAAGGCAGCUUGCAAGUCGAUCUUGCCAAAAGCCCACGACCAAUGCUAGCGGUAUCCCUCAAGAAGGCAUGA
rnacentral:rRNA from 1 species